rnacentral:rRNA from 1 species
GAUGAACGCUGGCGGCGUGCUUAAUACAUGCAAGUCGAACGAAUUGAAGAUGUACUUGCACAUCUGAUGUUAAUGGCGAACGGGUGAGUAAUACAUAGGCAACUUGCCCCAAGGACUGGGAUAACACUUAGAAAUGAGUGCUAAUACCGGAUAGGUAAUACAAAGGCAUCUUAGUAUUAUUAAAGUUGGGUAUCCAACACCAUGGGAUGGGCUUAUGCUGUAUGAGCUAGUUGGUGAGAUAAAAGCCAACCAAGGCGAUGACACAUAGCUGGGAUGAGAGGAUGAACAGCCACAUUGGGACUGAGAAACGGCCCAGACUCCUACGGGAGGCAGCAGUAAGGAAUUUUCGGCAAUGGAGGAAACUCUGACCGAGCAACGCCGCGUGAGUGAUGAAGGCCUUCGGGUUGUAAAGCUCUGUUGUAAAGGAAGAGUGUAUAGAAAAGGAAAUGUUUCUAUAGUGACGGUACUUUACUAGAAAGUCACGGCUUACUACGUGCCAGCCGCCGCCGUAA